rnacentral:rRNA from 1 species
UACGUAGGUGGCAAGCGUUGUCCGGAUUUACUGGGCGUAAAGGGCGUGCAGGCGGUUUGUUAAGUGCAGGGUGAAAGCUCCCGGCUCAACUGGGAGAGGUCCUUGCAUACUGGCAAACUCGAGGGAGGCAGAGGAAAGUGGAAUUCCCGGUGUAGUGGUGAUAUGCGUAGAUAUCGGGAGGAACACCUGUGGCGAAGGUGGCUUUCUGGGCCUUACCUGACGCUGAGA